rnacentral:rRNA from 1 species
CCUACGGGAGGCUGCAGUGGGGAAUAUUGGGCAAUGGGCGCAAGCCUGACCCAGCAACGCCGCGUGAAGGAAGAAGGCUUUCGGGUUGUAAACUUCUUUUCUCAGGGACGAAGAAAGUGACGGUACCUGAGGCAUAAGUCACGGCUAACUACGUGCCAGCAGCCGCGGUAAUACGUAGGUGGCAAGCGUUAUCCGGAUUUACUGGGUGUAAAGGGCGUGUAGGCGGGACUGCAAGUCAGAUGUGAAAACCACGGGCUCAACCUGUGGCGUGCAGUUGAAACUGUAGUGCUUGAGUACUGGAGAGGCAGGCGGAAUUCCUGGUGUAGCGGUGAAAUGCGUAGAUAUUAGGAGGAACACCAGUGGCGAAGGCGGUCUGCUGGACAGCAACUGACGCUGAGGCGCGAAAGCGUGGGGAGCAAACAGGAUUAGAUACCCCUGUAGUC